GGCAGGCGCCGCGAGUCCCCUUCGCCCCGCUUGCGGGGAGAAGGUGCCGGCAGGCGGAUGAGGGGCGAUCCGGAGGCGCUCUAUCAGAGCGUGCCGAUCAGUUCGCGGUAAGCGGCCUCU
rnacentral:sRNA from 1 species